CUCUGUCGGCUACCGCGCUGGGAGAUGUGGAAUCGAACCGGUGACCUUAGGAUCGCAAGCAAUGGGGGAGCCAGAAUUUUCAGCGCGUGUCCCCUCGGAGGAUGACAAGACGGAUGCAAGGGUGGCGAAGAUAAUGAAUGGCAAGCGAAAAUGUCUCGUGGGGUUUCGUCGGACAGAAGCACAAGCUGCAGCAACCAGCAUCAGAAGUCGUGCUUGAGCUGGACCCUUCUCUUGAUGCCUCCUCGCACCGAGUUCCGCUGAUGUCCUGGAAGAUGACCAUCAUGGGAUGGGGGGGGGGGGCAUAAUGAGCUUCUUCCCUUGAAGUUGCGACGUGGAGAACACAAGCCGCUUGGAUGCCUGGCUUUAAUCAGGCCAACUUUAAAAUAAAAUACGCAUCUAGUGAAGUUCAAAUGGCCUAAAUCAAUUUUGGAAACAUAUUACAUUUCCUGUGCCAUGAUUAAAAAAUGUUUUUUUAUGCUUGUGAUUUUCGUUUACCUUACGUGCAGUUUGUAUUGUAUUUGAAUAAUCCUAACGAUACUGCUGAAUACAAGCCAAUGUUUGUUUUGAUGUUUCAUGUCAAAGGUACAUUUUAGCUACAUAUUUUGAAAGUAAUCACUGUUCAAUAUUGUUAUCUUUUAACAUGAUUUCAAUAAAAAACUGAUUUUGAAAUAUA